AGCUCCAAUAGCGUAUAUUAAAGUUGUUGCGGUUAAAAAGCUCGUAGUUGGAUUUCAGUUCAUGCUACGUGGUCCGCUUGCCAGCGGUUACUGCGUACGCUGAACAUCUUCAGCGGACUGUCUCUAGAUGCUCUUCACCGGGUGUCUAGAGCGAUCCGUACGUUUACUUUGAACAAAUUAGAGUGCUCAAAGCAGUCCGGUAGUGACUAAAUAAUCUUGCAUGGAAUAAUGGAAUAGGAUCUCGAUUCUAUUUUGUUGGUCUUCGGAAUCUGAGAUAAUGAUUAAGAGGGACAGUCGGGGGCAUUCGUAUUGCGGCGCUAGAGGUGAAAUUCUUGGACCGUCGCAAGACGUACUACAGCGAAAGCAUUUGCCAAGAAUGUUUUCA
rnacentral:rRNA from 1 species